rnacentral:misc_RNA from 1 species
CGCACAUUGCGCCCUUUGGUAUUCCGAAGGGCACAUCUGUUCGAGCGUCAUUACACCUAAUCAAGUUUUACUUGGUAAUUGAAUGUACAUACUUGUCUUGAAAUACAGACACAUUCAAAAGAUAUCUAGCAGUACCUAAUAUGUCUCAAGCGUAACAAAUUGAAUUCGUUUGUCAGACUUUAUUUGGAACUUGCAUUUUUAUACAUAUUUCAAAGGUUGACCUCGAAUCAGAUGGGGAUACCCGCUGAACUUAA